rnacentral:rRNA from 1 species
UACGUAGGGUGCAAGCGUUGUCCGGAAUUAUUGGGCGUAAAGAGCUCGUAGGCGGUCUGUCGCGUCUGCUGUGAAAACUCAGGGCUUAACCCUGAGCUUGCAGUGGGUACGGGCAGACUAGAGUGCGGUAGGGGAGACUGGAAUUCCUGGCGUAGCGGUGAAAUGCGUAGAUAUCUGGAGGAACACCGGUGGCGAAGGCGACAUCCUGGACCGGUAUUGACGCUGAGGCGCGAAAGCCAGGGGAGCAAGCGGG